UACGUAGGGUGCAAGCGUUAAUCGGAAUUACUGGGCGUAAAGCGUGCGCAGGCGGCUAUGCAAGACAGAUGUGAAAUCCCCGGGCUCAACCCUGGGAACUGCAUUUGUGACUGCAUGGCUAGAGUACGGUAGAGGGGGAUGGAAUUCCGCGUGUAGCAGUGAAAUGCGUAGAUAUGCGGAGGAACACCGAUGGCGAAGGCAAUCCCCUGGACCUGUGACUGACGCUCAUGCACGAAAGCGUGGGGGAGCAAACAGG
rnacentral:rRNA from 1 species